ACGGAGGGUGCGAGCGUUAUUCGGAAUUACUGGGCGUAAAGCGCGUGCAGGCGGGUCGGCAAGUCUGAUGUGAAAGCCCAGGGCUUAACCCGGGAAGUGCAUUGGUAACUGCCGUACUUGAGUAUGUGAGAGGGGGGUAGAAUUCCCCGUGUAGAAGUGAAAUGCGUAGAUAUGCGGAGGAAUACCGAUGGCGAAGGCAGCCAUCUGGGCUAAUACUGACGCUGAGGCGCGAAAGCGUGGGUAGCAAACAG
rnacentral:rRNA from 1 species